UACGUAGGUCGCAAGCGUUGUCCGGAUUUACUGGGCGUAAAGAGCGCGUAGGCGGCUGGUCAAGUCCGAUGUGAAAUCUCCCGGCUCAACUGGGAAACUGCAUCGGAAACUGAUCGGCUUGAAGAUGGGAGAGGGUAGUGGAAUUCCCGGUGUAGUGGUGAAAUGCGUAGAUAUCGUGAGGAACACCAGAGGCGAAGGCGGCUACCUGGACAAUUGCUGACACUCAGGCACGAAAGCGUGGGGAGCAAAAGGG
rnacentral:rRNA from 1 species